UGCUUAACACAUGCAAGUCGAACGGUAACAUGGAGAGCGUUGCUCUCUGAUGACGAGUGGCGGACGGGUGAGUAAGGCGUAGGAAUCUGCCCAACAGUGGGGAAUAACCUGGGGAAACCCAGGCUAAUACCGCAUACGCUCUGUACUUAGGUAGAGAGGAAAGCGGGGGCCCUUUUCGAAGGCCUCGCGCUGAUGGAUGAGCCUACGUCCGAUUAGCUAGUUGGUAGGGUAAGAGCCUACCAAGGCGACGAUCGGUAGCUGGUCUUAGCGGAUGAUCAGCCACACUGGGACUGAGACACGGCCCAGACUCCUACGGGAGGCAGCAGUGGGGAAUAUUGGACAAUGGGGGCAACCCUGAUCCAGCAAUGCCGCGUGUGUGAAGAAGGCCUGCGGGUUGUAAAGCACUUUCAGUGGUGAGGAAAGCUCACGCGUUAAUAGCGCGGGAGGGUGACGUUAGCCACAGAAGCAGCACCGGCUAACUCCGUG
rnacentral:rRNA from 1 species